AGCAGCUGUGACUGUAGCAGCAUCAGCACUUCUGGUGAUCCAGUGGAGAAGAAUGGACAGGGAGGAGAAGCUCAAUGCCAUUCCUGUCAUCCUCACAGAGCUGGAUGCCAUGAAGAGAGAUCCCAUCCCUAAAUCACG